UGUGUGUGUGUGUGUGUGUGUG
rnacentral:miRNA from 1 species